rnacentral:rRNA from 1 species
UGAGGAAUAUUGGGCAAUGCCCGCAAGGGUGACCCAGCAACGCCGCGUGGAGGAUGAAUGUCGUAAGAUUGUAAACUCCUGUUAGAGGGGAAGAAUAGUACCGGUUGGACCGGUAUAUGACUGUACCCUCAGAGAAAGCCCCGGCUAACUACGUGCCAGCAGCCGCGGUAAUACGUAGGGGGCAAGCGUUGUCCGGAUUUACUGGGUGUAAAGGGCGCGCAGGCGGGAUAAAAAGUCAGUGGUGAAAUCCUACAGCUUAACUGUAGAACUGCCUGUGAUACUUUUAUUCUUGAGUUCGGGAGAGAGAGACGGAAUUCCAGGUGUGGUGGUGAAAUACGUAGAUAUCUGGAAUAACACCAGUUGCGAAGGCGGUCUCUUGGUCCGACACUGACGCUGAGGCGCGAAAGCGUGGGGAGCAAACA